rnacentral:rRNA from 1 species
AUGGGCGAAAGCCUGAUCCAGCAAUGCCGCGUGCAGGAUGAAGGCCUUCGGGUUGUAAACUGCUUUUGUACGGAACGAAAAAGCUCCUUCUAAUACAGGGGGCCCAUGACGGUACCGUAAGAAUAAGCACCGGCUAACUACGUGCCAGCAGCCGCGGUAAUACGUANGGGUGCGAGCGUUAAUCGGAAUUACUGGGCGUAAAGCGUGCGCAGGCGGUUAUGUAAGACAGAUGUGAAAUCCCCGGGCUCAACCUGGGAACUGCAUUGUGUGACUGCAUGGCUAGAGUACGGUAGAGGGGGAUGGAAUUCCGCGUGUAGCAGUGAAAUGCGUAGAUAUGCGGAGGAACACCGAUGGCGAAGGCAAUCCCCUGGACCUGUACUGACGCUCAUGCACGAAAGCGUGGGGAGCAAACAGGAUUAGAUACCCUGGUAGUCCACGCCCUAAACGAUGUCAACUGGUUGUUGGGAAUUAGUNUUCUCAGUAACGAAGCUAACGCGUGAAGUUGACCGCCUGGGGAGUA